rnacentral:rRNA from 1 species
CCUACGGGUGGCAGCAGUGGGGAAUAUUGCACAAUGGGCGGAAGCCUGAUGCAGCGACGCCGCGUGAGGGAUGGAGGCCUUCGGGUUGUGAACCUCUUUCGCCAGUGAAGCAGGCCUGCUCCUUGUGGGUGGGUUGACGGUAGCUGGAUAAGAAGCGCCGGCUAACUACGUGCCAGCAGCCGCGGUAAUACGUAGGGCGCGAGCGUUGUCCGGAAUUAUUGGGCGUAAAGGGCUUGUAGGCGGCUGGUCGCGUCUGCCGGGAAAUCCCCUGGCUUAACUGGGGGCGUGCGGUGGGUACGGGCCGGCUUGAGUGCGGUAGGGGAGACUGGAAUUCCUGGUGUAGCGGUGGAAUGCGCAGAUAUCAGGAGGAACACCGGUGGCGAAGGCGGGUCUCUGGGCCGUUACUGACGCUGAGGAGCGAAAGCGUGGGGAGCGAACAGGAUUAGAUACCCGGGUAGUC